GGGGUUGUUUAGUUUCGACAGGUUGUACUUUUUAAAAUAUGCAAGUCGAUCACCCACAGACAUAUCGUUAAACUGCUGUGGAAGAUAUAAGUGCAAACUUCAUAUCAAAGGCGAAAGCCACAUUUGCGCAAGCAUUUGCUGGUUUCUCACCUGCUUUAGCUUAGGCUCGAAGCCAUCGAACUGCUGAUUUCUCGUAAGCAGAGCUCGGUGUCAAACAUGAGAAUAGUGUGUUGAGGUUUUUCAGACUCAACAUAUGAAAUAAUUCUGAAGACGGCACUUGAAGGUUUUGCUUGUUUCCUACUUCAAACUGUCGCAUCUGCCGCAAGGUGGAAUGAAACAAACUAAACUUGUAGAGGAUUUUGGAUUGUCAAUUUUGGACAUGGGUGCAAUUCCCAUCAGCUCCACCG
rnacentral:tmRNA from 1 species